rnacentral:rRNA from 1 species
GUCGCUGGCCCCCCUUUACGGGGGGGCAUGUGCACGCCCGCGGUCGCAUCCUUCACACCCCUGUGCACCUCUGCGUGGGCUCGUCGGCUUGCGCCUUUGAGCCCGUGUCUUAUCACUAUAUACACCUGUAUGUCUUCAGAAUGUCUACCUGCGAUAAAAAGCAUCUAAUACAACUUUCAACAACGGAUCUCUUGGCUCUCGCAUCGAUGAAGAACGCAGCGAAAUGCGAUAAGUAAUGUGAAUUGCAGAAUUCAGUGAAUCAUCGAAUCUUUGAACGCACCUUGCACCCCUUGGUAUUCCGAGGGGUACACCUGUCUGAGUGUCGUGAAAUUCUCAACCCCCACCCCCUUUUGCGAGGGGUGUUUUGGGGCUUGGACUUGGAGGCUUUGCCGGAACCUGCCCCCCAUAACAGGGGUGGGAUCGGCUCCUCUCAAAGGCAUUAGUGGGGGGAACCCUUUGCGGCCUCGGUGUGAUAAUCAUCUACGCCGUGGGUUUAGCUCUUGUGGGGGGACCUGCUUCGAACCGUCUCGCGAGGGACACUUUCAUCGAAACUUGACCUCAGAUCAGGUGGGACUACCCGCUGAACUUAAGCAUAUCAUA